rnacentral:rRNA from 1 species
AUUGAACGCUGGCGGCAGGCUUAACACAUGCAAGUCGAGCGAGCGGCGGACGGGUGAGUAAUGUCUGGGAAACUGCCUGAUGGAGGGGGAUAACUACUGGAAACGGUAGCUAAUACCGCAUACCAUCAGAUGUGCCCAGAUGGGAUUAGCUAGUAGGUGGGGUAAUGGCUCACCUAGGCGACGAUCCCUAGCUGGUCUGAGAGGAUGACCAGCCACACUGGAACUGGGACACGGCCCAGACUCCUACGGGAGGCAGCAGUGGGGAAUAUUGCACAAUGGGCGCAAGCCUGAUGCAGCCAUGCCGCGUGUAUGAAGAAGGCCUUCGGGUUGUAAAGCACUUUCAGUCGGGAGGCGUUACUCACAGAAGAAGCACCGGCUAACUCCGUGCCAGCCGCCGCGGUAAUAC